UUCUUAAUCCUCCUUCCCUUUUUCUCUUUAAACAGGAAUUUUUGCUUAUCUGAACUACAGAGUACCUCGGACUCGGAAGGAAAUUUUUGAAACCCUGAUAAAAGGAUUACAGAGACUAGAAUACAGGGGAUAUGACUCUGCAGGAGUGGCAAUUGAUGGAAAUAAUAAUGAAGAUAAAGAAAGGUUCAUCAAACUGGUCAAGAAAAGAGGAAAAGUAAAGGCCCUGGAAGAAGAGUUGUACAAACAAGAUGACUUGGAUUGCAAAGCAGAUUUUGAAACGCAUUUUGGAAUUGCUCAUACUCGCUGGGCGACCCAUGGAGUACCAAGUGCAAUCAACAGCCACCCUCAGAGAUCAGAUAAAGGGAAUGAAUUUGUUGUUAUCCAUAAUGGAAUCAUCACAAAUUACAAAGACCUGAGAAAAUUUCUGGAAAGCAAAGGCUAUGAAUUUGAGUCUGAAACAGAUACAGAAACGAUCCCUAAACUGAUCAAGUAUAUGUAUGACAACAGAGAGAGUGAAGAUACCAGUUUUUCAGCCUUGGUAGAAAGAGUUAUUCAACAGUUGGUAAGUGGGAGGUUCAAUUUUUUUUUUCC